rnacentral:rRNA from 1 species
UGUGCGUUUAAGUUGGUAGGUGGGAAGUUUAGGCAAAUCCGGACUUCCUUAACACAGAGAGAUGAUGACGAGGCUCUACGGAGCUGAAGUAACUGAUACCACACUUCCAGGAAAAGCCACUAAGCGACAGGCUUUACUAAACCGUACUGAAAACCGACACAGGUGGUCAGGUAGAGAAUACUCAGGCGCUUGAGAGAACUCGGGUG